rnacentral:rRNA from 1 species
GACGAACGCUGGCGGCGUGCUUAACACAUGCAAGUCGAACGGUGAAGCGCCUUCCUUUUUGGUGGGUGUGGAUGAGUGGCGAACGGGUGAGUAGCACGUGAGUAACCUGCCCCCUUCUUCUGGAUAACCGCAUGAAAGUGUGGCUAAUACGGGAUAUUCUGGGUCUGUCGCAUGAUGGGUCUGGGAAAGAUAUUGUUUCGGUGGGGGAUGGGCUCGCGGCCUAUCAGCUUGUUGGUGGGGUGAUGGCCUACCAAGGCGGUGACGGGUAGCCGGCCUGAGAGGGUGGACGGUCACACUGGGACUGAGACACGGCCCAGACUCCUACGGGAGGCAGCAGUGGGGAAUAUUGCACAAUGGGCGCAAGCCUGAUGCAGCGACGCCGCGUGAGGGAUGGAGGCCUGCGGGUUGUGAACCUCUUUCGCCAGUGAAGCAGGCCUGCCUCGUUUGUGGGUGGGUUGACGGUAGCUGGAUAAGAAGCGCCGGCUAACUACGUG